rnacentral:rRNA from 1 species
GUGGGGAAUAUUGGACAAUGGGCGAAAGCCUGAUCCAGCCAUGCCGCGUGAGUGAUGAAGGCCUUAGGGUUGUAAAGCUCUUUCAGUAGGGAAGAUAAUGACGGUACCUACAGAAGAAGCCCCGGCUAACUUCGUGCCAGCAGCCGCGGUAAUACGAAGGGGGCUAGCGUUGUUCGGAUUUACUGGGCGUAAAGCGCACGUAGGCGGAUUGGUCAGUUAGAGGUGAAAUCCUGGAGCUCAACUCCAGAACUGCCUUUAAUACUGCCAGUCUAGAGUCCAGAAGAGGUGAGUGGAACUCCUGGUGUAGAGGUGGAAUUCGUAGAUAUUAGGAAGAACACCAGUGGCGAAGGCGGCUCACUGGUCCGGUACUGACGCUGAGGUGCGAAAGCGUGGGGAGCAAACAGGAUUAGAUACCCGUGUAGUCC